UACGUAGGGUGCGAGCGUUAAUCGGAAUUACUGGGCGUAAAGCGUGCGCAGGCGGUUUUGUAAGCCAGAUGUGAAAUCCCCGGGCUUAACCUGGGAAUGGCAUUUGGGACUGCAAGGCUUGAGUGCGGCAGAGGAGACUGGAAUUCCUGGUGUAGCAGUGAAAUGCGUAGAUAUCCGGAGGAACACCGAUGGCGAAGGCAGGUCUCCGGGCCAUAACUGACGCUGAGAAGCGAAAGCAUGGGGAGCGAACAGG
rnacentral:rRNA from 1 species